rnacentral:rRNA from 1 species
GGGUAUGCUUCUUCGGAAGCAGAGACCGGCGCACGGGUGCGUAACGCGUAUGCAAUCUACCUUUUACAGAGGGAUAGCCCAGAGAAAUUUGGAUUAAUACCUCAUAGCAUUGCAGGAUGGCAUCAUCCAGCAAUUAAAGUCACAACGGUAAAAGAUGAGCAUGCGUCCCAUUAGCUAGUUGGUAAGGUAACGGCUUACCAAGGCUACGAUGGGUAGGGGUCCUGAGAGGGAGAUCCCCCACACUGGUACUGAGACACGGACCAGACUCCUACGGGAGGCAGCAGUGAGGAAUAUUGGACAAUGGGCGCAAGCCUGAUCCAGCCAUGCCGCGUGCAGGAUGACGGUCCUAUGGAUUGUAAACUGCUUUUAUACGAGAAGAAACACUACUUCGUGAAGUAGCUUGACGGUAUCGUAAGAAUAAGGAUCGGCUAACUCCGUGCCAGCAGCCGCGGUAAUACGGAGGAUCCAAGCGUUAUCCGGAAUCAUUGGGUUUAAAGGGUCCGUAGGCGGUUUAAUAAGUCAGUGGUGAAAGCCCAUCGCUCAACGGUGGAACGGCCAUUGAUACUGUUAAACUUGAAUUAUUAGGAAGUAACUAGAAUAUGUAGUGUAGCGGUGAAAUGCUUAGAGAUUACAUGGAAUACCAAUUGCGAAGGCAGGUUACUACUAAUGGAUUGACGCUGAUGGACGAAAGCGUGGGUAGCGAACAGGAUUAGAUACCCUGGUAGUCCACGCCGUAAACGAUGGAUACUAGCUGUUGGAAGCAAUUUCAGUGGCUAAGCGAAAGUGAUAAGUAUCCCACCUGGGGAGUACGUUCGCAAGAAUGAAACUCAAAGGAAUUGACGGGGGCCCGCACAAGCGGUGGAGCAUGUGGUUUAAUUCGAUGAUACGCGAGGAACCUUACCAAGGCUUAAAUGUAGAUUGACCGGUUUGGAAACAGAUCUUUCGCAAGACAAUUUACAAGGUGCUGCAUG